UGCUGCGUGUAUGUGCGUGUGUACGUUUGCUGUGUGCUAUUGUACCAGCUGAUUGCUGAGUGGGGAUUCAUAUUUAAUUGCGAGUAACAUGAAAUAUCAUUACAAUGUGAAGGCGAAACUUGAAGGAAUAUAUUUUUAAACAAUUUAGAGCUUGCGUAACUUCGUGCCACAUAAUCACCAGUAAUCUCUUUGUGUUCUCUAGAGACAACACCCGAGUGAAAAGACGUUUAUAACUACAUACGUAUCUAUUGGAAGUUAAACAUAGAAAAUGCAAAAUAUGUCAGCUAUUAAGAAACGAAUGUGUUCAAGACGUGAAUCGAAUUCAACGAGAAAAUAAAGUCUCAAACGUGAUGUAACAUAGAAACAAGACACAGUGCAAGGUAAAAUCCUGUGCGGGGCUAAUAACUCCGUCGUAACAGCGUUCUUAACUACCCUACGCGAGGAACGAAACUUGUAAAUCAAGUUGUUUAGCUCCUUUCGAAGGCGGCAGACGGGACAGAGGUUGGUUCGUUCACAAUAACUAAUUCUUGAUGGUACGCGAACGCGCGGAGCUAAUUGAAGCACGCUUGAAUCUACAAGAAUAUUAGGGCCGGGUCGACACGAGCAUAGAAACGAAGCGUUAUCCCAGCGAUUGUCCCAUUCGCUCGUCGGUUCCGCGCUUGUUUCUACCGCGGCCGGAGGAAAAUUCGUACCAGCCCCGACGAACGUAAACAAUGGAUCCGGCGCCGUUGCUGAAUAACCUCGUUACCGAUGGAGGAGCAUAAAGAUCACGUCCACAGUGGCGGAGAGCGAUAGGAUCCUCUAGAAACUCCUCAGGCCGAUGUAUUUGCUUGCUCGAGUACGCCUCUGCUAAUUAUAUUACUCUUUGAAACUGUAUCCACCAGUCUUUGGAACAUUGAUCUGCUAUUGUGCGCCAGGCCACGGUGUCUACAGGGUGACUCAGAAAUAAGGGUUCAGGGGAUAAAUCUACUUACUAAGCAAGUAAUAAAUGUCGUACGUACAUGCGUUCUACGUUUCAUACUUUUCAAAUUAUAGACGACGAAAGAAAAUAUCUUACUCCUUCGGUUUUUCAUGAUCCAUCAUGUUACGCGUCACACUUUUACGCCAAUGUUUCGUGUACGUUAUGAUUCUCUUCUGCAGAACAUGAAACUAUUUCGGGUUUGCUCUGAAGAAGCGAGUUGUAACGUUCAA